rnacentral:rRNA from 1 species
GGUACCUGAAGAAAAAGCAUCGGCUAACUCCGUGCCAGCAGCCGCGGUAAUACGGAGGAUGCAAGCGUUAUCCGGAAUCAUUGGGCGUAAAGGGUCCGCAGGUGGCGAAUAAAGUCUGCUGUUAAAGACCGGGGCUUAACUCCGGAAAGGCAGUGGAAACUGAUUAGCUAGAGUAAGGUAGGGGUAGAGGGAAUUCCCAGUGUAGCGGUGAAAUGCGUAGAUAUUGGGAAGAACACCGGUGGCGAAAGCGCUCUACUAGGCCGAAACUGACACUGAGGGACGAAAGCUAGGGUAGCGAAAGGGAUUAGAUACCCCUGUAGUCUCAGCGGUAAACGAUGGAUACUAGGUGUAGCUUGUAUCGACCCGAGCUGUGCCGAAGCUAACGCGAUAAGUAUCCCGCCUGGGGAGUACGCACGCAAGUGUGAAACUCAGAGGAAUUGACGGGGGCCCGCACAAGCGGUGGAGUAUGUGGUUUAAUUCGAUGCAACGCGAAGAACCUUACCAGGGCUUGACAUGUCGCGAAUCUAGCGGGAACGUUAGAGUGCCUUAGGGAAUGCGAACACAGGUGGUGCAUGGCUGUCGUCAGCUCGUGUCGUGAGAUGUUGUGUUAAGUCCCGCAACGAGCGCAACCCUCGUCCUUAGUUGCCAAUAUUAAGUUAGGCACUCUAGGGAGACUGCCGGGGACAACUCGGAGGAAGGUGGGGAUGACGUCAAGUCAGCAUGCCCCUUACGUCCUGGGCUACACACGUACUACAAUGGUUGGGACAAAGGGCAGCAAGCUCGCGAGAGUAAGCGAAUCUCAUCAAACCCAGCCACAGUUCAGAUUGCAGGCUGCAACUCGCCUGCAUGAAGUAGGAAUCGCUAGUAAUCGCAGGUCAGCAUACUGCGGUGAAUUCGUUCCCGGGCCUUGUACACACCGCCCGUCACACCAUGGAAGCUGGCUACGCCCGAAGUCGUUACCCUAACCCGGUUUUGGGAGGGGGAUGCCGAAGGUAGAGCUAGUGACUGGGGUGAAGUCGUAACAAGGUAGCCGUACCGGAAGGUGUGGCUGGAUCACCUCCUUU